AUUGGCGGUGUGUGCGUACUUCAUGAAAGGCGAGGAGCCCGUCGCACAGGAGAACAAAGACAGCGACAUUCCUUGGCCGCUGAGCAUGCGCUGGCCGCUGGCGGCGUGGCGUUGGAUAUUCGCGCCUGAGGUGGCGCACGACCAGGCGGCGGGUGCUGAGCCAGGAUCAAACUCUACGGGCGGUGUGUGCCGACGUCGCUGGCUGGUGCUGAGCCAUGAUCAAACUCUACGGGCGGUGUGUGCCUGAGCCAUGAUCAAACUCUACGGGCGGUGUGUGCACGGGCGGUUUGUGUACGGGCGGUGUGUGCCCCGCAGUCUGAGCCAGGAUCAAACUCUACAGGGCGGUGUGUGCGUGCAGAGGCAUAUCGGCCGUUUCCUGAGCCAUGAUCAAACUCUACGGGCGGUGUGUGCCGGGAGGUGUGUGCGUGUCUGAGCCAUGAUCAAACUCUACGGGCGGUGUGUGCCAGGUUAGCCGCGCCCUGAGCCAUGAUCAAACUCUAGAGAGUCUGAGCCAUGAUCAAACUCUACGGGCGGUGUGUGCCAGAAUCAAACUCUCUGAGCCAUGAUCAAACUCUAAU
rnacentral:rRNA from 1 species